AGAGUUUGAUCCUGGCUCAGAUUGAACGCUGGCGGCAGGCCUAACACAUGCAAGUCGAACGGUAACAGGAAGCAGCUUGCUGCUUUGCUGACGAGUGGCGGACGGGUGAGUAAUGUCUGGGAAACUGCCUGAUGGAGGGGGAUAACUACUGGAAACGGUAGCUAAUACCGCAUAACGUCGCAAGACCAAAGAGGGGGACCUUCGGGCCUCUUGCCAUCGGAUGUGCCCAGAUGGGAUUAGCUAGUAGGUGGGGUAACGGCUCACCUAGGCGACGAUCCCUAGCUGGUCUGAGAGGAUGACCAGCCACACUGGAACUGAGACACGGUCCAG
rnacentral:rRNA from 1 species